rnacentral:piRNA from 1 species
UGGGACUAAAGAUGUGUGUACCACCACCUGU